AUAAUUUGGCCUGAAAAGCCUUGCAGAGGCUUUUUCCAAGCCUCUGGGAGGCCAAAAAAGGUCUCAAACCAACUGAAAAAAAAAUCAGAUGUGAGGUGUGUGCAUGUGCAGUGAGAUAAGCUUGCCUGCGGCUCGUGUGACAGCACAAAUGGCUCUGCGUGCCACUUGUGGCACACAUGCCAUAGGUUCGCCAUCACAGACCUCAGAGAACCAAUU